rnacentral:rRNA from 1 species
GAUGAACGCUCGCGGCGUGCCUAAUACAUGCAAGUCGAGCGAACAGACGAGGAGCUUGCUCCUCUGACGUUAGCGGCGGACGGGUGAGUAACACGUGGAUAACCUACCUAUAAGACUGGGAUAACUUCGGGAAACCGGAGCUAAUACCGGAUAAUAUAUUGAACCGCAUGGUUCAAUAGUGAAAGACGGUUUUGCUGUCACUUAUAGAUGGAUCCGCGCCGCAUUAGCUAGUUGGUAAGGUAACGGCUUACCAAGGCAACGAUGCGUAGCCGACCUGAGAGGGUGAUCGGCCACACUGGAACUGAGACACGGUCCAGACUCCUACGGGAGGCAGCAGUAGGGAAUCUUCCGCAAUGGGCGAAAGCCUGACGGAGCAACGCCGCGUGAGUGAUGAAGGUCUUCGGAUCGUAAAACUCUGUUAUUAGGGAAGAACAAAUGUGUAAGUAACUAUGCACGUCUUGACGGUACCUAAUCAGAAAGCCACGGCUAACUACGUG